rfam:Eubacterium sp. An11 An11_contig_2, whole genome shotgun sequence.
UCCAUUGUGAGGUGGAAGCUGAAGGAAGCUGUAGGCAAACCCUUGGCCUGACGGACAGGAAUCACAUAUAAGGCUGGGAAAUAUGGGGAAGUCUGGAUACAAAGCCAGGCCACACACGAAAGCGAUCGAAAAGUUUAAGGAGCAGAUGAAAAAGUACACAAA